rnacentral:rRNA from 1 species
GUGCCAGCAGCCGCGGUAAUACGGAGGGUGCAAACGUUGCUCGGAAUCAUUGGGCGUAAAGCGCAUGUAGGCGGCUUGUUAAGUCGGGUGUGAAAGCCCAGGGCUCAACCCUGGAAGUGCAUUCGAAACUGGCGAGCUUGAAUAUGGACGAGGGUCGCGGAAUUCCCGGUGUAGAGGUGAAAUUCGUAGAUAUCGGGAGGAACACCAGUGGCGAAGGCGGCGACCUGGGCCAAUAUUGACGCUAAGAUGCGAAAGCGUGGGGAGCAAACAGGAUUAGAUACCCUGGUAGUCCACGCCGUAAACGAUGGAUGCUAGAUGUGGUGGGUAUUGACCCCUGCCGCGUCGCAGCUAACGCAAUAAGCAUCCCGCCUGGGGAGUACGGCCGCAAGGCUAAA